rnacentral:rRNA from 1 species
AUUGAACGCUGGCGGCAGGCCUAACACAUGCAAGUCGAGCGGCAGCACGGGUACUUGUACCUGGUGGCGAGCGGCGGACGGGUGAGUAAUGCCUAGGAAUCUGCCUGGUAGUGGGGGAUAACGCUCGGAAACGGACGCUAAUACCGCAUNCGUCCUACGGGAGAAAGCAGGGGACCUUCGGGCCUUGCGNUAUCAGAUGAGCCUAGGUCGGAUUAGCUAGUUGGUGAGGUAAUGGCUCACCAAGGCGACGAUCCGUAACUGGUNUGAGAGGAUGAUCAGUCACACUGGAANUGAGACACGGUCCAGNCUCCUACGGGAGGCAGCAGUGGGGAAUAUUGGACAAUGGGCGAAAGCCUGAUCCAGCCAUGCCGCGUGUGUGAAGAAGGUCUUCGGAUUGUAAAGCACUUUAAGUUGGGAGGAAGGGCAUUUACCUAAUACGUAAGUGNUUUGACGUUACCGACAGAAUAAGCACCGG